CAGCCACUGCUGCAUUGUGUUUUCACUUUUUUGUGAGUAAAAGAGACAACUUCAUCAGUUCCAUAUAUGUUUAAGAGUCUGUCAAAAAGUCAAUAGUUUUAUUAUGGAGCUAAAUGCCGUUUUGGGACGAGGGAUCUGCCUGCAGGGCUUCUCCCUGGAGUCGCUUCUGGUGCAGUCAAGUGAGAGAGGUCCGGCUGCUGCCUAUACCAGUGCGAGCCAUGCCUACCUCACAGAAGGACCGCUCGGACAAGAAACCACAAGCAAAACAUGAGUAAACCCUGGUGUGGCCUCCCACCGCUGGAGACAGCUCUGAGUAAAGAGAUGAGGUUUGAUGUCGAGCUGCAACUUUUCUGUUAGACAGGACCAGAAGUCCAGUCCAGUCUCCUCAGUGAUGGACCAGCACCUGCUUUUUCUUCUGCGUCUGGCCUCAUCAAUCAACAACCACAUUACAGUAACACCUUGGAGUAUUAACCCUGCACAGAACACAUAUUGUCUGCACUGUGAUCUUUUGCACAUCCUGCUCAGCAGGAGUUUUGUCAACAUAGUUACAGUUAGUAGUUUGUGUAGUAUUUUUUUCAUUGUAUCUAUGUAUAUUUAUCUUUUUGGCUGUUGCAGUAUUUUACCUUUUUAUUUAGCUAGUUAUUUCCUAUAAAUGAAUUAAUUGUAUACUGCAUCAAACACGAAGCUAAACACCUGAUUUUCUGAUUCUGCCUUUGUGAUGAUGUCAUCAUCCCUUCCUCAUGCUGCUGUAGCCUGACACCCAUGUGUCAUGCAGUAUCCCCUUGCCUUCAUAUUUUUAUUGGUAAAUAAACACAUACUGUUUGUAUUAGUUAGACAACAGCCACAGGAACAGGCUAAAUUCCACUAAACUGCUAAAACAUCUGUCGACAUCAUCAUCAUCAUCAUUUAUGCCACUUGAAGUGUUUGUCAGUACUCUUUGUCAUU